GACGUGACUUCAGAGUUUGAUCCUGGCUCAGGAUGAACGCUGGCGGCGUGCCUAACACAUGCAAGUCGAACGGGACUAUUUCAGAUCUUUUCGGAGUGAUGAUCUAGUUUAGUGGCGGACGGGUGAGUAACGCGUGGACAACCUGCCUCUCACUGGGGGAUAGCAGCUGGAAACGGCUGGUAAUACCGCAUGCGUUCAAUGUGCCGCAUGACACAUUGAAGAAAGAUUUAUCGGUGAGAGAUGGGUCCGCGUCUGAUUAGCCAGUUGGCGGGGUAACGGCCCACCAAAGCGACGAUCAGUAGCCGGCCUGAGAGAGCGGACGGCCACAUUGGGACUGAGACACGGCCCAG
rnacentral:rRNA from 1 species